UACGUAGGGGCUGAGCGUUGUCCGGAUUUAUUGGGCGUAAAGAGCGUGUAGGCGGCCAGGUAGGUCUGCUGUGAAAACUCGAGGCUCAACCUCGAGAUGUCGGCGGAAACCAUCUGGCUAGAGUCCGGAAGAGGAGAGUGGAAUUCCUGGUGUAGCGGUGAAAUGCGCAGAUAUCAGGAAGAACACCCGUGGCGAAAGCGGCUCUCUGGAACGGUACUGACGCUGAGACGCGAAAAGCGUGGGGGAGCGAACAGG
rnacentral:rRNA from 1 species